GUGGGGAAUAUUGGACAAUGGGCGAAAGCCUGAUCCAGCAAUGCCGCGUGAGUGAUGAAGGCCUUAGGGUUGUAAAGCUCUUUUACCGGGGAUGAUAAUGACAGUACCUGGAGAAUAAGCUCCGGCUAACUCCGUGCCAGCAGCCGCGGUAAUACGGAGGGAGCUAGCGUUGUUCGGAAUUACUGGGCGUAAAGCGCACGUAGGCGGUUACUCAAGUCAGAGGUGAAAGCCCGGGGCUCAACCCCGGAACUGCCUUUGAAACUAGGUAACUAGAAUCUUGGAGAGGUCAGUGGAAUUCCGAGUGUAGAGGUGAAAUUCGUAGAUAUUCGGAAGAACACCAGUGGCGAAGGCGACUGACUGGACAAGUAUUGACGCUGAGGUGCGAAAGCGUGGGGAGCAAACAGGAUUAGAAACCCCUGUAGUCC
rnacentral:rRNA from 1 species